AGUGAACGCUGGCGGUAGGCCUAACACAUGCAAGUCGAACGGCAGCACAGUAAGAGCUUGCUCUUACGGGUGGCGAGUGGCGGACGGGUGAGGAAUACAUCGGAAUCUACUUUUUCGUGGGGGAUAACGUAGGGACACUUACGCUAAUACCGCAUACGACCUACGUGUGAAAGCAGGGGAUCUUCGGAUCUUGCGCGAUUGAAUGAGCCGAUGUCGGAUUAGCUAGUUGGCGGGGUAAAGGCCCACCAAGGCGACGAUCCGUAGCUGGUCUGAGAGGAUGAUCAGCCACACUGGAACUGAGACACGGUCCAGACUCCUACGGGAGGCAGCAGUGGGGAAUAUUGGACAAUGGGCGCAAGCCUGAUCCAGCCAUACCGCGUGGGUGAAGAAGGCCUUCGGGUUGUAAAGCCCUUUUGUUGGGAAAGAAAAGCAGCAGGUUAAUACCCCGCUGUUCUGACGGUACCCAAAGAAUAAGCACCGGCUAACUUCGUG
rnacentral:rRNA from 1 species